CUGGAGCUGCUCCAGCACCGAGCAGCCUCGGUCUUCGCUUUUAUCCCUUCCUGCAGUGCCGUAAUGAGCUUAUCUGCUCCUUCUGGGAUGUGGUGUAAGCACAGAAGUCAGCGUGUAUUUUACCUAUCAACAGUCACCACCACAGGAUGCCAAGGUUGGUCUGUCUUGGCCAUCUGCAGUUUGUUGGGGAAGCCUCUGGGGCAUCAGGCUGAGUGUGUACGUGUUAUUCCAGGGGCUGGGGUGUGUGAAAUGGUGCUUUGGUUCUAUUAAAGUCAUACCUGCUCCUGUCUGAACAAGUGCUUUUUUGUGAUAGACGUGUAUCAAAGUCCUAAAGUAGCUAAUAAAGUUAUUGUCGUUUG